UUGACCACCCGAAAGCUACGGAUAAGCAAUGGUAAUUCUAUGCAUAAUCCGCAUUGCCCUCUGGGCAGUAUUCGUACCCUCGCAUAACGGCAGCUUGGCUCCGGCCAUCUAUACGUGAGUGAGGGAUACGAUAAGCAUGUUCUUGCUAAGCGCGCAUACGUGCGGCGGGUGUAAAAUCUCUGCCCCAUCAAGUAGUUGGCAGGGUCGUGGCCUACCAAGCUUGUAACGGUAACGGGGAAUGAGGGUUCGAUUCCGGAGAGGGAGCAUGAGAAAUGGCUACCACUUCCAAGGAGGGCAGCAGGCGCGUAAAUUACCCAAUCCUCAUAUGAGGGAGGUAGUGACAAGAAAUAUCGGAUCAGAGCCUGUCAGCUCUCGAUCGGAAUGAGUGCAAGUUAAACCUCUCAACGAGGAACCAUUGGAGGGCAAGUCUGGUGCCAGCAGCCGCGGUAAUUCCAGCU
rnacentral:rRNA from 1 species